GGGGAUUCCCAAAGGCAGCACCAAGAAGUCCAGGGGAACCUCUCUGGUGUCCACGGAGCCAAGGCCUUGGAAAGAGUCCGGCUGGGACCGCCGCCGCCAGUCGUACCAAAUGGCCACUGUGCCAUUAUUGACCACGGUCAGCUCCGAAGAUGUCUUCUCUCCUUCUAGAGUUUCGAAGGUCAAGCGGACAGCAAUUCCAACAUGCUUCUAGGGAAGGAGGAGAACAUUUGCUUCCUCCUGUCUGUCACCUCGGCUGGAUCUACAGCUUCCCAAGGGAUUACGCAUCUCCAGAUGUGUGCUUUUCACUGGAAGGAGGUUUGGUCCACGAGGGUGCGUUGGUAAAAGCAGCAUUUCAGAGUGAUUCAUCCAAUGAGGGUCGGAGAUGUCCUUGGUGACAUUCCGAAUGCUUGCUCUUUCCAGACUGUACAGACACCCCGCAGAGAAGGCUAUGCGCUUUACAUUGAACUGUGCUUUUAACUUUUCUGUAGCCUUGGAAUCUUUCAAAAUGGAAUGUACAGUGGGGGAAGGAAUCUCAGCCCUGGACCAAGGCUCGGCCCCCCCAAAGCAGGAUUCUACCCUCCAGGGAAGAAGGCUGGACAAAGAAGACCAAGGUCAAGGCGGGCUCACUGAGUUUGUUAGGCUGUUUAAAUAAAAGCAGGCAAAUGUUUCUGUAGGUAAAAGGCCAGGGGAA